GUUAGCUGCGUGGAGGAGGGGGCGGGAAUACGGAGUGGGGGAGGGUUAUUCGGAAUGAUUGGGCGUAAAGGGCGCGUAGGCGGCUUUACAAGUCAAAGGUGAAAUUCCUCGGCUCAACUGAGGAACUGCCUUUGAAACUGUAAGGCUUGAGGCCGGGAGGGGGUAGCGGAAUUCCCAGUGUAGCGGUGAAAUGCGUAGAUAUUGGGAGGAACACCAGUGGCGAAGGCGGCUACCUGGACCGGUUCUGACGCUGAUGCGCGAAAGCGUGGGUAGCAAACAGGAUUAGAUACCCUAGUAGUC
rnacentral:rRNA from 1 species